rnacentral:tRNA from 1 species
GUCUGAAUAGCUCAGUGGUAGAGCAGAGGACUGAAAAUCCUUGAGUCGGGAGUUCGAAUCUGCCUUUAGACA